UACGUAGGGUGCGAGCGUUGUCCGGAAUUAUUGGGCGUAAAGGGCUCGUAGGCGGUUUGUCGCGUCGGGAGUGAAAACUCAGGGCUUAACCCUGAGCCUGCUUCCGAUACGGGCAGACUAGAGGUAUGCAGGGGAGAGCGGAAUUCUGGUGUAGCGGUGAAAUGCGCAGAUAUCUGGAGGAACACCGGUGGCGAAGGCGGCAUCCUGGACCGGCAUUGACGCUGAGGCGCGAAAGCCAGGGGAGCAAAGCGGG
rnacentral:rRNA from 1 species